GCCCCUGUAGCUCAGAAGGAUAGAGCAGAGGUUUCCUAAACCUUUGGUCGCAGGUUCGAGUCCUGCCAGGGGUA
rnacentral:tRNA from 1 species